UCCUUGAUGGUCCAGUGGUUAGGACUCGGAACUUUCAUUGCUGGGCCCAGGUUCAAUCCCUGGUCAGGGAA